GUCAUCUGAUCGCGACAAGGGGCAGCUCGAGUGCCAACCCUUUUAAUAUUAUUUAUUUAUUUUAGCAUUAUUAUUAUUAUUAUUAUUAUUUUAAUAAAAUUGGACGAAAUGCGCACUGGAGGAAGCCCUGUGACCACAGGGGUGUGUGACGGGGCCGCGUGGGCCCGGCCCCGCAGGGGGAGGAAGCACUGCUGCUGCAAGAGGCUGACCCAGAGGGCGCGGGGUCGGUGCCGGCCGCGGCUCGUGGGGCUCACGGAAACAAUGCUCAUUUAAAUAAUGAACAAUUCAUCUAUGGAGCUUUUGAAGAGUGUAAAUAUAUUCAAAUGACAUAAAAAACGUCUGAAGUGGAAACUCUGAGGGUUAUUCAGAGCUCAUUCGCCCUCUCUGCCCCAUGCAGGGUUCUGCGUUUUCUAUUUCAAGAUUCCUUGGAUACUUGGCUGCACUGAGAACAUCAUUUCAAUGUUAGAGGAUCCACAGAAUAUUCUGAAUUGGAAGGCACCACAAGGAUCAUCAAAGCCCAACUCCUGGCCCUGCACAGCACAGCCCCAAGAAUCACAAAUUCUAGAAGCCAUGUUGGAAAC